rnacentral:rRNA from 1 species
AUUGAACGCUGGCGGAAUGCUUUACACAUGCAAGUCGAGCGGCAGCGCGGGGGCAACCCUGGCGGCGAGCGGCGAACGGGUGAGUAAUACAUCGGAACGUGUCCUUAAGUGGGGGAUAGCUCGGCGAAAGCCGGAUUAAUACCGCAUAAGCUCUGAGGAGGAAAGCGGGGCUCCGUAAGGACCUCGCGCUGUUGGAGCGGCCGAUGUCGGAUUAGCUAGUUGGUGGGGUAAAGGCCCACCAAGGCGACGAUCCGUAGCUGGUCUGAGAGGAUGAUCAGCCACACUGGAACUGAGACACGGUCCAGACUCCUACGGGAGGCAGCAGUGGGGAAUUUUGGACAAUGGGGCAACCCUGAUCCAGCCAUUCCGCGUGAGUGAAGAAGGCCGUCGG